UCAAUCUUGCAGAUUGCUGUUUUUUUAAUGUUCUACACGAUUAUGUCUUAGCAAUUAAAAAUGGGGGUUGCGCUCGUUACCUGGAAUUAACCAUAAUCUCACGACACGAACUGACGAUAGCCAUGCAACACCUAAAUAGCAAAUACAAUAUAAAAUAGAGUCAUUUUAUAAAAGUAACAUAAAUAUCUUUCAAUAAAUUUAUGUUUUAGUUGCUAUUAUUUAAGGACUGGUAAGAUUUUUAGUGUUGUAUCUAAUUAAAUAACAUGCUCCACCGCUUGUAAAAAGCUCCCGCCAAUUCCCUAAAGUUUCAUUCUUGCGAAUGUAGUCCCCCGGUAGAAUAUUUAAUGCGUUAGCUGUAACACCAAGGAUUUUCUUAAUGUUUAAUAUUCAUCGUUUACAG
rnacentral:misc_RNA from 1 species